UGAGUUGAUAUAAGCUUUGUCAAAGAAAUGAAUGCUACAGAAAGGUACAAGUUGAGUUUAGAAUAGAUUUGUAUUUUUACCUCAGAUACCGAUAUUUCAAGCUUACUUUCGAGCAUGUAAACACAACUUCAGCCAAUCUGACCAGUACAUACCAGAGCGCUGGCUGAGGUCAAACGAUGGGCAAUACAAUGAACAGAUUCCUUUGAUUGCCUCCAAUCCAUUUGGCCACGGUGCCAGGCAAUGUGCUGGCAAAAGACUUGCUCUUCAGAUGAUCUCCUUAGCAACUAUUAAGGUGCUUCAGAAGACUAGGAUAGAAUUACCGCCAGAGUCUCGGAACAUGGAAUUUAUUUACAAAACAUUCGUGGAACCGAAAAGGCCGCUUCAAUUCACUUACCGAAAACUAGAUUGAUCGAAAUGUACCACUUAGGAUAACAUCUCUAGAUCUACAUGUGUUAAUGAAUCUCAAAGAAAAAAAAAACUCAAUCAGAAUAGCUCAGUAAAGACUGACUACUUUUUCAAGAAAUAUAUUUUUCAUUUAGCAUUCGCUGCUUCUUGCCAAAGUGAAUCACGUAUUUGUAAUGCAAUCAUUUUUCUAUGCUACAGUUUUAUUCAUUGAUAAAUGUCGGACUGAAGCAUUCAUUGCUAUUCUUUCCUCAUCCCAUCACACACUCUUCUUAUUGAUACUGUUAAUUCUCUUUCAUGUGAACCUCAGAUAUGGAAUAGCCCUUAUUUAUUUGGCAAAUAUUAUCAAGGGAUAUAACUUAUGCAUUUGUAUAGUUUCUCUAAUAUUCCUUACCUCCCUUUUAGUCCUAAUUAUACAACUACUCUUUAGCUGUGGUAUGCAUUAAAAACAAUUUCUAUAAAAAAGAAUAAUAUCGAUAAAUACGUAUCAGGUAUUAUGGUUUGAUUGUGGGACUCCUUUUAAAAAUUAGCUUUAAAUACAUUAGUAGUGUUAUAAAAUAAAAGCCCCCCCCCCUCCAUUUAUCUUUCAUGUAAUCAAGUAAUCGGCACUGUAUGCAAUAAACGAGGGUAAUUAUAACUAAUUAUAUAGGUUGGAUUUUGGAUUUCAGUUUUUGUGACAGCUUAAAGAGAAUUGGUUUCAUGGGGGUGUGGUGGCUUGAGAACUCGUGUCUUACAACUGGAACAGAGGGAUCUUAGUCCAUUCAACUGUAAUACCAGACGUUAAGUAAGGGCGGAUGGUCAUUGUGCUGGACACAUUGACCAACUUAACGCAAAGAGAUUUACUUUACUCGCUUCCUAUGAAGAGAUAUGAAGAGACUUGAAUUGCAAGGCAAUUUGGAAGUAAUUCUCUUUCUAGUAACCCUGGGAAUGUUUGGUGUUGAAUACAAAUUGUUUUAAUAUCUCAUGUGCCAUUGAUCUUGUGUUCUCAAUAUUUUGUUGUAUCUUGUACAGACAUUUUUUUUUCUUUAUAAUGUAAUUUUUUUUUAAAAAUAUGAUCACAUUGUCACCUUAUUCGUAUUUUCAUUUAUAUUGCAAUGGUGAUUUGUGAUUGCAGGAGGUCAACUGGUUAUCUAGGUUGAUUCUAAUUAUAUGUAGUUGUCCGUAAACAAAUUGGGGAACGAAAAUGUGCCAUAUAAAAUUAUGAUUGUGAUUUAAAAUUUUUAUGAAACUAUAUCUAUGUUCUAUGUCAUAUGUAUUUUAUGUAUAAUAUUUUACUCUUUUGUAAGUUUUUGUUACUGAAUUCAACUUUUUUCAACUAUUUACAUAUAUACUCUGAUCUGAUAACUAUACUAACUACGGUAACUUUGCUUUAAAAUAUUUUGUUAUCUCCCUUACUAUUCUUUAUCUUUUAUUUUUUGCAAUCAUUGCAUUAACCACUAAUUAAAGCUAGACAAAAUGAAGAUAGGAGUGGACCAUCCUGCAAGGUACAGUUCCAGGAGACGGAAAAAAGGGAGAAACAACUGAAAUUGAACUACAUAAGAGUUGAGCGAACAACAGGCCAGAUGAGGCGCAUCGUCCGGCUAGAAACUAAAAGAACGGGACAGAACUCUUGUAGAAUUCAAAACGUUGACCUGAAAAGGGUAAUGUAAACAUGAAUAAUAGUAAUACCAGCUAUCUGCUUUAACCGAGUUGUACUAGACAUAGUGUGAAUAUCUUUUAAUGCCUAGAGAUCAACACUAUUGGAUAUGCACAUCUUCAUUGUUUUGUUCUCGAUACUGUUGUUACAAAAAUGUUUUCUUCACUCGUGAUAACCUACUGUGAUGCCUUGGAAACGGAUUCCUACACAAAUGUUUGUUUUUUCUUUUCUCAGAUAUAAUGUUUUUGAG
rnacentral:sRNA from 1 species